rnacentral:rRNA from 1 species
AUUGAACGCUGGCGGCCGGCCUAACACAUGCAAGUCGAACGAGUGGCGGCCGGGUGAGUCAUGUCUGGGAAACUUCCUGAUGGAGGGGGAUAACUACUGGCCCCGGUCGCUAAUACCGCCUCCCCUCGGCUGGGGCCCGAUGGGAUUAGCUAGUAGGUGGGGUAACGGCGCACCUAGGCGACGAUCCCUAGCUGGUCUGAGAGGAUGACCAGCCAAACUGGAACUGAGACACGGUCCAGACGCCGACGGGAGGAAGCAGUGGGGAAUAGGGCACAAUGGGCGCAAGCCGGAGGCAGCCAUGCCGAGUGUAUGAAGAAGGCCUUCGGGUUGUAAAGUACGUGCAGAGGGGAGGCGUUACCCGCAGAAGAAGCACCGGCUAACUCCGUGCCAGCAGCCGCGGUAAUAC